UGCAUGAUUUCUUUUCCUUCUUUUUGAGAAGGGGAAUCUCCCCAUAGAUAAUAUGGGCUUGUUUGGUUUGAGCCCAAGUCUGCCCCACCAAAAUUUUGGCAAAUGUUGGCAUGACCAAAAGUCCAAAACAACGGCAUGACCAAUAAUUUGGUAAAUAGGUGUUGUUUGGUUUGCAUCCAAAUUUUUUUGGCCAACCUUUUAGGUUUGCAAAUAACUUAGUACUCAAACAUUUAACUUGCUCUAUUUCUCAGUUCGCGAGGUACUAAACAAGAUCUAGAGGUAAAUCAUGGAUUAGAAAUAAACAAAAAUGAAAAAAGUUGCUGGACUUUUCCACCGACUAGGUUGAGAAGUGAGAGAGAAGGUGUAGAUUAUGCUCUGCUUCGAUGCAUAGCCAGAAAGAGAAUGGAGAAAGAAAGGAAUAAAAAAUGACUGGGGCCCACUAAGGAUUAGAGGUUAAGCAGCGUUGCCAAUUCGUUGGCGAGCGCUUUCGCCGCCCUCACUUCGCCAACGCUCCCGCUGGAGUAGUGCAGGUGCGGGCGCGUCCGUGACGGGCCGGGCAAGCCAACUUUUCGGCCU
rnacentral:lncRNA from 1 species